UGCGUUAAUAUACCCCACAAAAAGAAACAACGUGAUCGUGAAUGAAACAUCGGCCCCGCUAUCGAUAUAUCCCCACAACAACAACGAGCGGCGUUUUUGACGGUUGAGUUUCUGGUGUGUGUGCGUGUUUCCGUGGAAAACAAAAACAAAACAGCCGCGAAAAGUGUUCAAUUGGAUUGAAAUUGAUUUCAUUUUCAUUUGAAAAUCCCCGUAAACGCAUGUGCCCGCUAAACCCGCGACAGCCGUGAAAGAUCAGCCAAAAGGGCAAAAAUUACUUAGUAGUUGAUAGAUCGCGAAACGCAAAAGCGCGUCAACAAUUACAGUUAAACUAGAAGGGUCGCGUCGUCGUCGCCGCCGCCACUCUGCCCCGCCGCCGCCAACAAAACGACGUCAUUUUAUCAUAUUUGUUCCCCACAUUGUGAAGCGUCUUUUUAUGAACGUGUCCCCAAAUAUCGAAAGUGAAUGAAAUACAAAAAUAUCAAAAGAAAACAAAAAACCAACAACUCGGAUCUUUACAACUGAACGGCGGAGUGCACGGAUUUAACCCGCUCCCCAGAGCCAUAACAGCAAUCAAUUUGCACCACCCCCGCAACCACAGCACCGCCGCCACCGCCGCGUACGUGGGUCGUGUGCAGUGCGAAAGAAAGUCUCUCUCUAUUUAGUAGCCUCUUCGACAGCGCCUAAGAUAUACAGAAGAUACAGAUAUACGUAUCCGUAGUGUUUGUGUAGUAUUUGUAUUUGAGAAAUAAUCAAAAAGAUAUAAAGUCUUAUUUGUUGAGACCGAAUGUGACACCCGAGAGAAAUCUUAAUCCCCGAGCCUUUGGGCGAAUGUCAAAUGCAAAUUUAUUAGAGUGCAAUCUCCCCUCGACUCUCCCGCUCUCCCUGACCGGCGAAAUUAAUAUCUUUGUAGGCUAUAAAUUUCACAUAAAUAACACCCGAAUCGAAAGGAAAACGGAAAUCCAGAAUACAUCUAUAAAUAAACCCAUUCGGACCAGAGUGUUUUCUAUUUUAAGUUGUUUCCUAAUUUCCAUUUGUGUGUCCGUGCCCGUGCCCGUACCCGUACCCGUACCCGUACCCGUACCCGUACCCGUACCCGUACCCGUGCUCUUGUGCUUCGAUUUUCCGGUAGUAGAGUAAUCGUUUAUCGUUUAUCGUUGUUAUCGAGCAGCAACAAUCGUUUAUCGCGGCAGCGCCAGCGCUGAAAGCGGCCCCACAUGCGUGGGCUCCUCUAAAUUGGGUAAAUUUUGUUCUUGUUUUGUGGUUGGUCUAGGGCCCCCACCCCAGACACACUUGUUAGCAUGAAUAUGAGUCAAGCU